AUAGUAAAAUAUUUGGUCAAACUAACUUAUAAGUACCAAAAUGAAAAGCUCCUAUCCCGCACAGUUUAUAAGUCCUAAAAAUAUUUUAAAUAAGCAGGUUAGCUUAAAGUUAUAGUUUAGGCUAAACACCCUCUUAAAUGACCCAAUUUCGAAUAGACUGAGCUAAAUAUGUUUAUAAGUCCUACCUUUUUUCUUCGUUAAGUAUGGUUGCAUGCACUUUUCAUUUUUGGUAAUAGAUUUUCAUUAUAAUUAAUUCAUGAAAAAGUGUGUUCUUAACAUAGUGAUUAAUUAUGAUAUGAUGAAUGUGUUGGCUGGGUGUUGAUUUCAAAACAUGGUUUCCUAUUGCUAGUUGUUGUAUAACUUAAAAAUGUGAUUGCUACAUGCCAUGGAUUUACUGGAAAUAUUUUUUUUUUAGCCUUCAUUAUUUGUGAACGGACUUCUUUUGCAUUAUAUUUGAUUACAUUUGAAUCAUAAAUCACUAGUGUAUAGGAUUGGACAAACGUCUGUUCUCAGAUGAUAUGGUUCAUUUUGAAAGAAUAGUAAUCAAAUUUAUUUUAUCGGCUUGUUAAUGUAAUUAGAAUUUGGUGCUUUGUGUUUCUUAGUCACAUUGUAGGUAUUAAUUUUACUAAAGAUCUUAAUCGUGGGAGAAAAAUACAGGCAAUUUGUUAUGACUAAGAGAUAGGAGAGCUUGAUGAAUUGACUUAGGUGGGCUGACUGUAAUGGCAGGCAGCAUUCUGUUAUUUUGUUUCAAGUAGUUGGUUUUGGUAUAAAUAGGAGGAAGGUACUUGUAUUUGAGCAAUCCUAAAAUCAACAACAAAUGUAGAACUCUUCUUUCUCUCUUCUUCUCUAGUCAUCUCUAAAUCUUCUCCACUUUCUAUUUGUUUUCUCAACCUAGUCUAUUUCUAUUCCUUUCUCUCCCUAUUUCUCUGUUCCAUUGAGAUGUGCAGGUCUGAUACGUAACACAAUAGUGUUGUGCCAUAGACCUAAUUUUUAAAGCCUAAUUGCAAUCAACUUUUUAGGCUACAUUUCAUAUUGCAGUUGCUUUGGGAUUUUGUUUUUCAUCCCAAACGGCAUAUUUGACCUAAUGCUUGAAUUUAAUUCCAAAAGUGGGGGAAAGUAUUUUGACCCCCUCCCAAAAAACUUGAAAGGGAACAUAUGAAACGAGCAUUUUUGAUAAUUAGGUGAAGCCACAAUGCCAAAUGGAGGUAAAUUACUUUUGCUUGGACCGAGUAAACUCUGUUUACAUGUCUUUUUCAUCCUCCUUUGUCUUAACACGACUACAGAACUGUUAUUUUUAUGUCAAUGAUGCUAUCUGUGGCUUUUUUCCCCACUCAGUUUUUUGUGAUUACUUCUUGAUGCUAGAAUCAAUAUUGCUGGUGAAACAUUCAUUUUAAAGAUUACUUUGGCAUAUGGUAGCAUCUUCAUUAUUAGCACUUUUAUUAUUGUUUGAAUGAUCAGGCUUGAUUGCAUUAAAGGCCUUGUCUGUUAGCCUAUCUUGUUGAUUUAAUGGCUUAAUGGAUUGAAGACCUUGCUUAUUUUAAUGUGGCUGGUUGGUCUUGAAGCAGAAGGCUGGUUCAUUUUUCACCAUUCCUUCUCCCUUCUCCUUCCUUGCAUUUUUUAUGCUUGAGUUGCAACUUUAUUCAUGUGGGCAUUUGAUAAAAUUUAUCUUGAAGUGCCACGCAGCAUUGGCCCUUCUUUCAAUGUAUGUUUUUGUCAUUCUAGUUUGCUCAUUAUUAAUUACUUCUUUUUGUGGUCUAAUGUUGUGUUCAUCACUUCAUCUUCACUUGAGUUAUUUUUAUGAGUACAACUUAAUGCAGCAUAUUUCAUUUGGUUCUGCCAUGUAAUAUAUUGCUCUCACAUAAUCUUUACUCCUCAAUUUCCUAGUUCUUACCAAGACCACCCAAGCCAGUACAUUUAAUUUCUCCACUGCCUUUUUCCUUUAAGCACCUUGCUGUAUUUUUUUAGCUUUUAACAUCCUUGAGUGCUUCUCUAUUUUGGUUUGUUCUGACUAGUUUCGUCUGCUGUUUUUAGAUGCUUUCUAAGUACUGUUAUUCCUGCCUGUUGGCUGAUCAACAAUGCUGCCUGUCACAUACUCCUUGUAUUUUAGCUUUCUAACAAUACAAAUUGUUU
rnacentral:misc_RNA from 1 species